rnacentral:rRNA from 1 species
AGUACGGCCGCAAGGUUAAAACUCAAAUGAAUUGACGGGGGCCCGCACAAGCGGUGGAGCAUGUGGUUUAAUUCGAUGCAACGCGAAGAACCUUACCUACUCUUGACAUCCAGAGAAUUCGCUAGAGAUAGCUUAGUGCCUUCGGGAACUCUGAGACAGGUGCUGCAUGGCUGUCGUCAGCUCGUGUUGUGAAAUGUUGGGUUAAGUCCCGCAACGAGCGCAACCCUUAUCCUUUGUUGCCAGCGGUUCGGCCGGGAACUCAAAGGAGACUGCCAGUGAUAAACUGGAGGAAGGUGGGGAUGACGUCAAGUCAUCAUGGCCCUUACGAGUAGGGCUACACACGUGCUACAAUGGCGCAUACAAAGAGAAGCGACCUCGCGAGAGCAAGCGGACCUCAUAAAGUGCGUCGUAGUCCGGAUCGGAGUCUGCAACUCGACUCCGUGAAGUCGGAAUCGCUAGUAAUCGUAGAUCAGAAUGCUACGGUGAAUACGUUCCCGGGCCUUGUACACACCGCCCGUCACACCAUGGGAGUGGGUUGCAAAAGAAG